rnacentral:rRNA from 1 species
GUGAUAUGGAGCAAAACCCUAAAAGCGGUCUCAGUUCGGAUUGAAGGCUGAAAUUCGCCUUCAUGAAGCUGGAAUUGCUAGUAAUGGCAGGUCAGCAUACUGCCGUGAAUACGUUCCCGGGCCUUGUACACACCGCCCGUCACACCAUGAGAGUUGGAAAUACCCGAAGCCUGUGAGCUAACUGUAAAGAGGCAGCAGUCGAAGGUAGAGCCAAUGAUUGGGGUGAAGUCGUAACAAGGUAUC